ACCUCUCCGUCUUCUCGCUGUUGCCUGACUUCUGGGGCAUAGGGCAGCUCUUCCCGAUGAUGCCGGUGAGCCGCCUCAACGAGGAGCCGACUCUCAAGGGCACGCUGGUGGACAUCACCUGCGACAGUGACGGGAAGAUCGAGAACUUCAUCAGCCGCGAAAACACAUUGCCGCUGCACCUGUUCGAGCCGAGCCUCGGUGGCUACUACGUGGCCGUACUCGUCUCCGGGGCGUACCAGGAGGCCAUUGCUGGCAAGCACAACCUGUUCAGUGGCCCAACCCUCGUUCGUGUCAAUAGUAGCACUACAAAAGAUGGCGGCUUCGAGAUUGAACGCGUUGACCUGGGCCCAGCUGCGGAUGAGAUCAUCGGCAGCAUGAGGUACAGCGUCGAGGAAGACAUUAUCACCGUCAUCGAGAAGAAAGCCAAGGGGACAGAAGAAGAAGAACGUGUGUGGGCGUGGGAGAUGGUGGAGCCACUCAUGACCAAAGCGCUCACCACCAUGCCCUACCUCAACGAAUACAAGGUCCCUGAACCUGAACCUGAACCUGAACCCAUCCCUUGAACUUCUGCACUGCAGAGUCUCCGGAUUUGGCUGCGACUGCGAUCAUAUAUACAAUAAGAACUGCCUGGUUGAUGAUGGAUAAGCAGAUAACGAAAGCAGCCUACGUAUGUAUGUUUCCCUUUUUUGAGUUUACCCUGCUCGCUUGCAUCUUGUUAUUGUACGUGUUAUCCAAUAAAUAAAACAAGCUUCACUGGUGUGUUUAAUUGCUA
rnacentral:lncRNA from 1 species